rnacentral:rRNA from 1 species
AUGAACGCUGGCGGCGUGCCUAAUACAUGCAGGUCGAGCGAACGGACGAGAAGCUUGCUUUUCUGAUGUUAGCGGCGGACGGGUGAGUAACACGUGGAUAACCUACCUAUAAGACUGGGAUAACUUCGGGAAACCGGAGCUAAUACCGGAUAAUAUUUUGAACCGCAUGGUUCAUAAGUGAAAGACGGUCUUGCUGUCACUUAUAGAUGGAUCCGCGCUGCAUUAGCUAGUUGGUAAGGUAACGGCUUACCAAGGCAACGAUGCAUAGCCGACCUGAGAGGGUGAUCGGCCACACUGGAACUGAGACACGGUCCAGACUCCUACGGGAGGCAGCAGUAGGGAAUCUUCCGCAAUGGGCGAAAGCCUGACGGAGCAACGCCGCGUGAGCGAUGAAGGUCUUCGGAUCGUAAAACUCUGUUAUUAGGGAAGAACAUAUGUGUAAGUAACUGUGCACAUCUUGACGGUACCUAAUCAGAAAGCCACGGCUAACUACGUG